CCACCGUGGUCGGGCAUAUUUUUCAAGCUCGCCCGGUGUGGAUAUGCACUCAGAGUAACAUCGGAAACAUGUUAUUCACCUGAGUACACAACACCAACACAGAAAAAAAAUCAUAUUACUAUAACACAUUGGUAUUGAAGGAACUAGAUACUGUUCCGAAAUAUCACUUACUCGAACCGUCCUGACCGCGUAGCUCAGUUGGAAG